CAGCCCAAACCUUUUUCUCAUCCCUCCCCAAACGCUUUUUUCGCUCUCUCUAAACGUCACCUUCUCCCCAAAGAAAACCCCAGCCGCCCAUCUCUCUAAACCUAGCUUUUCUCUCUCACUCAUCCAAAGGCAACGGUGACGGCCACAGUGCGAAGGAGAUUUGCCCAACAGUGGGUGGCGCGAUGGGCUGCUUCUACGAUGAGCCGCUCCUCGAGUGAUGGGGGCUGGGUCACGAUGAAAAUGAUGGCUCGAUGGUUUUCCUCGGCAUCGUCGGUACACUCUUCCAGGUCACCAGCCGUACUCCUUUCCAUAUCAGCAGCUGAAUCACCAAUUUCUUUUACACCACCCCUCAAACGAAAUGGGGAUGAAAUAACAUUGAGUUUGCUGAUUAAAAAUUGGAAGCGAGAUGGAGACAGCCCUUUAGUUAGACAGUCAGCUAUUUGGUCAUGUGAAGGGACAUAUCUGAUUUCAAGAGUCUUUUGCAGAAUUUUAUCUCUGAUGAAAUGCACAUCAAGCUCUAUGUGCUUUGUUCUAGCAUGAUAAACAGGAUUUGAUGCCAGUGCACUAGCACUCAUGUUGUCGCACCAUAUAACAGGUGUAGCAGUCAGUUUGAACUUCAUUUCAGCGAGUAAGCCUUCUAGCCAGGACAGUUCUGCAGCAAGUUGGGCCAAAGCUCUGUAUUCCGACUCCGUGCUUGAGCGAGCUACAACUGUUUGCUUCUUCGAGGACCAGGAAAUUAAAGACUCUCCCAAGAAAACACAAUAGCCAGCUACUGAUUUCCUAUCAUCUGGACAACAUGCCCAGUCCGCAUCAGAGAAGCCGACUAAGUUGAGCAUGUUGGAAGGAGAUAUAUGUAUUCCAUGAUGCAAGGUGCCCUUCAAGUACCUGAGUACUCGUUUUACUGCACUCCAGUGCACUGUUGUAGGACUCUUCAGGAAUUGGCUCAGCUUGUUGACUGCGAAAGAAAUGUCUGGGCGAGUGUGGCUGAGAUAUUGAAGAGCUCCUACAAUACUCCUGAAGAAAGUUGGCUGAGUCAAUUGUUCUCCAUCAUUGAUUGAAAGUGGUUUACCUGCCACCAUUGGAGUAGAGCAAGGCUUCACAUGAGUCAUUUCUGCUUUCUGGAAUAAUUCUGUAAUGUAUUUGCCUUGUGAUAAAUGAAAUCCAGUCUCAUCUCUGAACACCUCAACUCCCAAGAAAUAAUGUAAUGGCCCAAGGUCUUUCAAUGAGAAUGUAUUGUUCAAUUUAUUAAUAAAUGAAUGCAGCUCCACUUUGUUGUUUCCUGUUAUAAUUAUAUCGUCAACAUACACCAAUACCAUAAUAAUAAACUUCGGUUCUUGAAGCAUGAAAAACGAUGAGUCGGCUUUAGAGUUCACAAAUUUCCAUUUCUGCAGUGUGUCUCGCAAUUGAUCAUACCACGCUCUAGGAGCCUGUUUCAGACCAUAAAUUGACUUAUGAAGUUUGCACACAUAGUCUUCUUUUCCCUGUUCCUCAAAUCCUUGAGGUUGUGUCAUAUACACAUCUUCAUCCAGAAUGCCAUUUAAAAAAGCAUUAUUAAUAUCAAUUUGUCUAACCUCCCAAUCAUAGGCAGCAGCUAUAGUAAGGACAACUCGAACAGUGGCUGCCUUGACCACAGGACUGAAGGUUUCGCCAAAGUCGAGACCGGGUCGUUGGUGAAAUCCCUUCGCAACUAAACGAGCUUUGAAGCGCUGUAAGCUCCCAUCUGCAUUCAACUUUUUCUUGAAUACCCACUUGCAGCCGACCACGUUAUACGAAUCAUGCGAAGGAACAACUGUGUAGGUGUUGUUUCGUUUGAGAGCAGCAAUUUCUUCCCUCAUAGCCGAGUUCCACCCCUCCUUCUGAAGAGCUUCAGCAACUGAAGCAGGUUCAUGUAGAGGCGAAGAGGAUGUAGCAUGGCCCAGGUAGAUUUUAGGUUUGAAGAUUCCCGCUUUUGAGCGAGUCGUCAUAGGAUGAGUAGGUCGUGGUUCAUGAGGCGAGGAAAUUGGAAUUGCAGUGGGCAACUCAUGCGGAGACGAUGAUGAACCACCUGCAAUAUCAUCAGGAAACAUAGUAAUAGGAGACCCAGAUGCAAUAUCGUGCCGUGGAGAGGAAGAGGAGCUGACAGACGACUGGAGAGGAGAACUGGAAGAGGGUGCUGUGGGAACACUUGUUGAUUCAGAGAGACUGGAUGCUGUUGGAGACGUGUACACUGGGAGAUGAAGCCACGAAUGAGGGAGAUCAAGUGUGACAGGUGUUUCAGGUUGAGUCGUAUUGAGAAAACCCAUAUGAAAUGGAAACUCCAACUCAUUAAAUACAACAUGCCGAGAUAUAUAUAUACGCCCAUGAGGACUCAAACACUUGUAGCCUUUGUGCAUCUCACUGUAUCCCAAGUUAACACACUUGAUAGUGUGGAAUUGGAACUUAUGGCUUUGAUAGGGACGAAGGCAAGGGAAGCAUGCUGAGCCAAACACUUUCAAAAAUUGAUAAUCAGGAAGUCGAGAGUAGAGUACCUCAAAGGGGGAUUUCUGAGACAAGACUGAUGUUGGCAGCCUGUUAAUGAGGUAGACUGCUGUAUGAAAGGCUUCUGACCAGUAUUUCAGAGGCAUUUUUGCCUGAGCCAAUAGAGUGAGCCCCAUUUCGACAAUAUGUCGAUGCUUCCUUUCGGCUCGUCCAUUUUGUUCCGAAGUGUGAGGACAAGAGUGAGUAAACUGAAUUCCAUUUUCAGUAACAAGUUGGGUGAACGCUUGAUACUCUCCACCCCAAUCUGUCCUAAUUCGUUUUAUUUUCUGUUCAAAUUGAUUUUCCACAAGUGCCUUGAAUUGAAUAAAAGCUCUUAAUGCAUCUGACUUUUGUUUAAGAGGAAACAGCCAGGUAUAGCGGCUAUAAUCAUCUAUAAAAUGUAUGUAGUACCGAAAAUUGAUAUGAGAUGCAACAGGGGCUGGUCCCCAUAAAUCUGUAUGAAUUAAAUCAAGUACUUUGGCAGCUCUGUUAUGCGAAUUCUUAAAAGGCAAAGCAUGGGAUUUUCCGAAUUGACAAGCAUCACAAAAGGACUGUUUCUCAUUGAUAUUGUGCUUUACAUUUGACAAUCUCAACACUUGAUUUAAAACUAAGCUAGAGGGAUGACCUAGGCGUCUAUGCCAGGUAUCCUUUAGGGAAAUACUAGAAGAACAACUUGGCUGAACAUCACUGGUUACAGCAGAAUAAACAUGAGUAGAACUUGCUUUGGGCGAUUUUGACGACGUUGGCAGAGAGCUGAGUUGAUAGAGACCGUUCUUAAGUGUUCCUUCCAGCACCACUCUCCCUGUUCGAAGGUCCUUCACACAGCAAAAAUGAGGGAAAAACUCAAUUGAAACAUGAUUAUCACGGGUCAGCUUGGAAACACUAAUAAGAUUCUUGGUAAUAGUUGGAACAUGCAAUAGAUCAUUUAACAGUAAUGCAUCAGUAUCUGAAACAUGUAGAGACCCAGUACCAAUAGAACUAAUUGAAAGUUGUCUACCAUCACCAAUAACAAUUUGUUCCUUACCACCAUAAUCUGUUUUGUUUCCAAGCUUAUCACCAUCUGCUGUCAAAUGAUUUGUCGCACCACUAUCUGCGUACCAGCUCUCAUCAGUGAGCAUUUGAGGAGUAGCAACCAAGGCAGCAAGAUGUUGUUGUUUUUCCUUGUUCUGAUUUUGCUCAAAAUGAGGUGGCUGACCCAUAUAGGACUCAUCAUAUCUGUUAUAGCAAACAGAUGCAGCAUGCCCGUAUUUUCCACAAACUUGGCAUGUUGGUUUAAACCCAAAACCACGGCCAGAUCUGCCUCCUCGACCUUGAUAGCCUCUUCCUCUUGAUGCAUUAUUUUGUGACCCAGAUCCACGGCCUCCAGAAUUGUAAGGACCUCCUUGUGAGCGUUGCAAGCCUUGCGAACCUGAACUGUAUGGCUUAUGAGCAAGAUUAGCAGAGAGUGACCCAGAAGAAUUAAGCAGUUUGUUGUUGACAUUGUUCAAUCGAUCUAGCUUGCUGUCAAAGCUGAGUAAAGAACUUUGAAGUUCCUGCCAGGUGAGUUGAGAACGAGAUUCAAGUAAGCAAACAAUAGCCAAAUAUUCAAUAUCCAGACCUGAGAGAACAUUUGCAUUCAGAUGUUGUUCUGGAUAUGGUUCUCCAGCCAAAGCAAGUGAAUCUGCCCAGAUGCGUUUUUGCUUCAAAUAAUCUGUCAUAGACAUAGCACCCUUUCUUGUAGUUUGUAUCUUAGUCCUCAAAUCAUCCAUGUUUGCGCGAGAAUGAGCUCCGUACAAGUCUUCGAGAGCUGUCCAAAGCUGAGCAGCUGAGAUGCACCCCAUUACUUCAGAAGCGAUACCCUCUGUCAUUGAGCCGUAUAGCCAGCCCAUUAAGAGCUGGUCAUGAACGAUCCAAGACUCAUACUCCGGAUUGACAACUUGUUCUGUAAGCUCCACCCCUUCGUCAGUUGUUUUCUCUAUUGUGAGAAACUGUGGAGGGCAAACUUUGAGCCCUUUGAGAUACCCAUCAAGUCGGUGUCCUCUGAUGAUGGUGGAGACCAUUGUUCUCCAUAAUGGGAAAUUAUUUCUGUCAAGUUUUAGUGAAAAUGGUUGACUCAAUGUAUUGCUGAAAGGAGUCACCAUGAGUUGAGCAGUGGCAUUUUGCUGUGCGUUCAUGCUUCCCUGAGCAUCACUAACGUUUCCAGGACCGGUCUUCUCCGGCUGGGUUCCAGGAGUCUGACUCUCACCGGUGGACAUGGCUAAGCGGCCAAACCUGGCUCUGAUACCAAGAUAAAAAAUAAGAAAACAACACUGUUUUGUAUAGAAUCAGCUCUAAAUCAGAGUGAGCUCAAAAUUUCAUUAUAUAGACCAGUGGGUACAAAGGAAUGUUCUAGUGCCAAUAAAAAGGCAAUACACGUACACUCUUCCAGGUCACCAGCCGUACUCCUUUCCAUAUCAGCAGCUGAAUCACCAAUUUCUUUUACAUGGCGGACCCAGUAUAGGCAAAAGAGGGGCGGAUGCCUAUGCUAAUUUUUUUUAUAUACUGUACAUUGAAAUAUAUGUGUAUAUAUAUAUAUAUAUAUAAAUGUCUCCAUACCGAUUGCUCCUCCUUAAAAUAGUCACUACACACUACACACUACACACUACACUUCAUAUUUUAAAACUUAAUAUAUCAAAUAAAAUAUUAUUCUACUAUAGCUACUCACCACUUUUUCUCACUCUAUGCCCCACUUGUCUCUCACCAUCUCUUUUUGUUAUCUUUCCUACACUUGCUAUGCUAUUGCUUCUUCACCACAGCUACGAAUAGUAAUUGAGAAUUUGGAAUUGCUCCUCCUUUGUUAUCUGGUUUGAGUUAUGCCUAUUAUUUUAUUUACAAUUAGUUAUUGACUUCGGGUUUUCUGCAAUUAAUAUGCAUAUGCUAUUCUUGGAUGCUUUCAAGUUCCAACUGAUUUUAAGAGAUAUUGUCCAAUAGUAAGAGAUAUUGCUACAUUAUGAUCUCUUUCUCAUUGCAGCUUAUUUGAGAACAAUAUACAUUGCUAGUUCUGUUAUAGGCAGUUCUUUUUUUUUUUUUAAUUUUAAUUCCCUUGUUACAUUUGGGUAGAGUACUCAUUUUAUUUUGCUGUGAGAAAGAAUAAUUACUUAGUUUGCUAGAUUUGUUAUAGACUGUCACUUAAUGUUAUAGAUUUAGUAGUCUCUUAAAACUAGAUGUGGUAUUUUGUAUUCUUUAUUAUGCAGACUUUAUAUAUUCUGAACGCAAUGGUUAGAUCUUUUUAGUCAUGGUUUUAUUUGGUUUAUAUAAAUUUAGAUUAUGCA